UUCUAAGUGUGGAAGAGUCCCUUUCCCAUUCCACUGCAACCAUGAGGAGAAUACUCGUAAGAUUCAGACUCAGAUUCAGGACCCACCUUUAACAGACAGGAACCUUUCAUGAAGACUUUGACAAGGGAAGAAGGAAGAAGACUAGUGCUGACAAAGAGAAGAAGAAGAUUCCAUUGCCAAGCUUUGUCUAGCAGCCAAUAUAUGAUUAAGGAGCAGAAGACUGACCUCAAUUAGUGAACAAGACUGUGGAGAUGAAGGACUAACUUCUGUCUAACGUAAAAUUGAUGGCAAGAAAGCGGUUAUGCUGACAUUGAUCCCAUUUCUGAGAGUAGGUCGACAUGAUUCAGCAAGAGUCAAAAGAGAUCAACUAGAACCUGAAAAUAAAGUGUUUCUAUGAUAGCCAACAAAUAUGCCUCAAUAAUAGUGCAGAGAGUAAGGUUUGGACUGCAACCUGAUGUAGUCUGAUUUAAAAAAAACAUAAGAGUCAGGACAAGGAGGAACCAUUUACACCUUUUGCUUCAAAUUGAACAAAUUAGAUAAAUUAAUCCACAGAAUUCAAUGGACAGUGCUGAGUACAUUGUUAUCUACAAAGUGAUGGACACACUAAAUAACUAAACCAAUGGAAUUCAAUGGACCAUGCUGAGUAUGCUGUUAUCUACAAAGUGAUGGACAAACUAAAUAGCUAAACUCACAGAAUUUAAUAGACCAUGCUGAGAACAUUGAUAAUUAUAAAGUGAAAGACACUUCAAAUAGCUUAACUCACAGAAUUCAAUGGACAUACUGAGUAUGUUGUUAUCUACAAAGUGAUGAACACACUAAAUAACUCGAAUUACAGGAUUCAGUGAUGGAUACACUAAAUAGCAUAACUCACAAAAUUCAAUGGACAUGCAGUGCUGAGUACAUUGUAACAGCAAAGUGAUGAACACACUAAAUAACUCAACUGAUAGGUUUCAGUGCACUGUGCUGAGUGACUCUUAUCAACAAAGGGAUGGACUGACAGGACACACUAAACAGCUUAACUCACAGAAAUCAAUGGACCAUGCUGAGUACAUUCCUAUAACAAAAUGAUGGACACAUUUAAUAGCUUAACUUACAGGAUUCAGUGGACCCUGCUGUGUACAUAACUCAUAAAGGAUAGCUCACGUCCUCAACAGCAUAUGACUCAAAGUUUACUCCGUUAAAUCUGUAUUAAGGGAUUAAAUCUUUUGAUUUAAGUAGAGAAAGCUCAAAAUGCUACUACACUAUUGUUCAUCUUUUGAAUUACACCAAGUUAUUUUUUCUGAAUAUAUUUUCUCAAGAAUGUUCCUGAAUUGUUAAUAACUAAUUGAAAAAAAUGUGUUUGUCCGUUGUGAUACAUGAUGAUGUGCUCACAGUUAAAAUUUUAACUUUUAUAUCAAAAUAUAUUGAACAUAUCUGUCA